UACUAGCACGAGUCCGAUAGCGAACAAGUACCGUGAGGGAAAGUUGAAAAGUACUUUGAAGAGAGAGUAAACAGUGCGUGAAACCGCUCAGAGGUAAACGGGUGGAGUUGAACUGUAAGCUCCGGGGAUUCAGCUGGUGAGUGUGUCAUGAGCUUGGUCAUUUUCGGCCGGCCUCUAGAGUCCGCUUAGCUGCGGGUCCUUGCUUCUUCGGGAGUGAGGGUGCGCGUCGCACUUGUCAAGUGCUGUGCGCUCUGGGGGUUGCCGGGCUGGCUCGCCGGUGCACUUUCUCGGAGUGGUCACCACGACCGGCGUUGUUGUCUUGCUGCUGUAGUCGAACCGGUCAGGUUUGGUCCUUGUGGCUGAAUUUGAUCGGGAUGGCAGGUAGCUCAUUGGUUGGCUUGUCCAGUCUUUGGGUGUAAUCAGCUGGCUGCAGUAGUAGUGUGCAAUACGUCGGAGACGGCGGCUCGAGGUAUUUGCUUAUGUGCUGUUGGCUGGCGGUGUCGGGUUUGAUUGGCGUGUUUACCUGCUUCGGCAGGUCCGCUGGUAGCUCGGUGCCGUUCGGUUGGCAGUUGCAUUUGUGAUACCGCUCAUGGGCCCAUAGUCUGUGGUGUAGCAGCAAACG
rnacentral:rRNA from 1 species